CUGAGAGGAUGACCAGCCACACUGGAACUGAGACACGGUCCAGACUCCUACGGGAGGCAGCAGUGGGGAAUAUUGCACAAUGGGCGCAAGCCUGAUGCAGCCAUGCCGCGUGUAUGAAGAAGGCCUUCGGGUUGUAAAGUACUUUCAGCGGGGAGGAAGGGAGUAAAGUUAAUACCUUUGCUCAUUGACGUUACCCGCAGAAGAAGCACCGGCUAACUCCGUGCCAGCAGCCGCGGUAAUACGGAGGGUGCAAGCGUUAAUCGGAAUUACUGGGCGUAAAGCGCACGCAGGCGGUUUGUUAAGUCAGAUGUGAAAUCCCCGGGCUCAACCUGGGAACUGCAUCUGAUACUGGCAAGCUUGAGUCUCGUAGAGGGGGGUAGAAUUCCAGGUGUAGCGGUGAAAUG
rnacentral:rRNA from 1 species